rnacentral:lncRNA from 1 species
CCCGCCCCGUUGCCGGCUGCUCGAGGGCAGGCGGAGGGCCCGCUGGGCGGGCGUGGGCGGGCGCGGGAGAAGGCAGAAGGCUCGGCUGCAGCGCAGCAUGUCCAUGCACCCCCUCCCCUCCGGCGCCCACGCUCGCGCCCGAGGCUGGCACCGCCGCUUUGGGAGCUGGGCCGGGCUCCCCGGCGGGCGAGGGGCCGAGCGCUGUCUUGGGCCAAGGGUGGUGGGACGCGUGCACUGCCUGGAGAGGGUGUGAGGGGAGGCCUCAGGGGCCUUCCCCGGAUCUGCCCACGUCGAGACCACUCCGCUUUGUGAUAGCUCUGCAGGCUGCGCCUGGGGACUGCCCUGCCGGGGUUCUUGUGGAAGAAGAGAAUAAAGAGCAUCUAGGAAUGAGGCAAAUGAUACUUCCAGUUUGGGUAUUUAUUUGCUCUGCAGCCGUGGCCUGAGCUUACCUGAACUCAGUUCUCAUUGGCUCCAUUCAGUGUUUCGGGGAAGCCUACCGUGGCCAGGCCCUGUGCUGACGCAGCCCUCAGUGCCAUCCUGCCUCUUGUAGCUCAGAUCAUGACAUGAAGAUCAGGCUUCCUCAUCCCAAAUUUCUUGCUUUCGCUACCCCGGGACUACUAUAGGGAAAGCAGCAAGUUGGGAAGAAUGCAUGCAAGCUGUGGCUUAGGCAGACCUGGCGUGGAUCCCAGUGCUCAGCACUGCCUCUCAACAGCUGUUGAUCCCUAGGUAUCCAACCACCCGCUUCAGUGUUCUCAAGUGAAAAUGGGGUAAUAAGAUUGCACCUCAUAGGACUUUCUGAGGAUGAAAUAGGCAGUGGAGCUGCCAUCUUGGUCCUGCACAAUACUGCAGAGCAGAUGAAGGUGCCCUUGGAACACCCUUCCAAUUUUUGGUGUCUGCUCUUCCUCUCUCCACCUUACCCUCAUUUUCUGCAGCCAACAAUGUUGUAGACCCUUCUCAAACACCUAGUGCUUCUCCCCACCCAUUUGAUGUAUUUGCCUUAUUUGCUAAGAACAGAUGACCCUAAGCCAGUUGUGGAACAAAUCACCUUGUGUGUUUCCCCUCCCAUGCCAAGAAGUCCCUGUAGGGGAACCCAAUUGACAUUGAACUUUAGAGGCAGCCAAGAGAAGGACAAGUACAUCACAAUAAAAUGGCAACACUCUGAGAGAUAAAGUUCUAGUCUUCCAGCUUGGUUUUAGUGGGACUGCUUUUAGGUUGACUGCGCAUGACUAAUAAUAACAUAGCAUCUAAGUUAUUAUUUAAUGAAAGUCUAUAAUUUGCUGGGCAUGUGCUAAACAGUUUAGAUAAAUAUCUCUGAGCAUUGUAACCACCUCGAUGGGCUAGGUUUUCCCUUUUACAUUUGGAGAGAUUGAGUCUCAGAUUCAUUUAUUCA